GUUAGUCAACUGCUAACAGAUAAAGAAUAUGCUCCAAAUUCCAAUGAGGUUUGCUUUUGUCUUUUGUGCUUGAUGUUGUGCCUAAAAUGCAGAAUGUCAAGAAAAAUGCUGCAAUAACUGAAAUCGGAGGUGCUACUCCAUCAGAUGAGAAAACAGUCGAGCUGGGACCAUUAGUUUAUGAGAGCAAAGCGGCCAUGAGAGCAGUAAUUAAUGACCGGAGAUAUGGUGCUCUAAAAUCCCUUGGUGAGCGGAAGCAAGCUUUUAAUGAGCCAAAAGAAAAAACUGGAAGCAGAAGAGAGGCAUGUUAAACAGAAAAAAGCUCGGGAAGAUUUCAGGAUAAUGUUAGAAGAUUGUAAGGAGCUGUCACCAUCGUCAAGAUGGGAGUAAGGCAAUCUCCAUAUUCAAACAUGAUGAAUGUUUUAAAGUUGUUGAGCGAGCUAAAGACCGUGAGGACCCUUUUGAAGAUUAUGUGGAGGAACUUGAGAAAAAGGUGAAGCUCCUUUUGCAGAACUUUCUUGUAAGCUUCUAUAUGUUAAAAACUAAGUGUGCGGACUGCAGUUUCCUUAUAUGGUCUUUGGCUCCCCACAAAUUGAGUUAGCCUUUUAUUUGAGAUAGAAACAAGGUCCAAUUUCUUAAACAUGGUAUUAGAGGCAGAUCUAUCCUGAUGUUAGACUAUUAGAUGUUAGCCAACCUAGGUUAAAUGAUGCUACAAAUGUCUAGCCUUGGUGUGUGAUUAAUGUAUGAGAAUCCCACACUAGUAAGGUGUAUGUGCUGUAGUUUCCUUAUAUGAUCUUGGACAAUCUU